rnacentral:lncRNA from 1 species
CUCGACAUCAGCUUGCUACUCGAAGCCAGAGUUCAAGUGAAUCUCUUGAACAGUUCUUUCAAGCACUUAAGCUUUUGGGAAAAGAAUGUCAAUUUAAAGUGCAAACAAUUGACCAGAUUAGGGAGGAUUAUAUUAGGGAUUCAUUCAUUACUGGCAUGACUUCUCAUCAUAUUUGACUAAGGACUUUAGGAAAUACAUCCCUUACUUUUACUGAAGCUUAUGAACAAGCUCUAGCUAUUGAGAUACCCAUGAAACAUACCCAGUCUUAUUCUCAAGGAAACUCCUAUGUUAAUGCGGUCGAUCGCUUGAAGGAAGGAAAGGCUAUCCGUCCUCACUCUCCUAUGCAAACUCCACCCCUCAAACCUGAUGAAAAUUAUAAGUCCGCCGCUCUCAAUACUCUGUGUAUGUUCUGUGGAUAUUCCCGACACAAUCGAUCUACAUGUCCUGCAAGGAAUGCCAUCUGUAAAAAUUGUGCUAAAAGGGUCAUUAUACUAAAGUUUGCAAAUGUAGUGCGAGUUCUAAACUAAGCAGAUUUUCAUCGGCUCUUUAUAUUGCCUCUACAUUUAGUUCAAAAAUUACAACUCAAUUGAAGUCUUCAGUAGUAAGUGUAAUAAUAAAUGGGUGUGGGCAGGAAUAGAUAACUCAAUAUCUGAUUAUUUGAGUUUUAAAAUAGCUUUGCUCGAUGCUAAGGACAGAAAUGUGUCUAUAUUAUCAUAGUAUUCUGCUCAAAGAGUUGAAUUCUCCGGUGGAAAGCUCUACGGAUAUGAGGAUAAUGGAUCGACCAAAACAAUCUUGUGUUUUAUAUUUAAAAGUGUUCUAGACAGGUAUAACGAGGUAGUUGCAAUGGUUCCUCUAUCGAGGAUUGAUUAAAAAGUCAUGAAAAAAUGGUUCUUCAAUGUUCUUAAACUUGUUACUGACGUCGGGCUUAGAUCAGUCGCCAUUCGAUCAACCAUGAAUUUUUUAAGAACGAAUAAGGAAAUGGUGCUACCCCACUCCAUAUUGAACAUCCGUUCUCCAUCUCAAAAGAAAAAAUAUUCUUAUUAUUUUAUUCAAUCCAUAUUUUCAAAAAAAUUCUACAAUAACCUAAUAAAUACGAAGAUGCAUCACAAAGGGGCCCUCAACAAAUAUUUUAUCCUUUUUAAGCAACGCAAAAAUCUUCACCACAACGUUGAAAAGUUUAUCGAUAUUUUAGGAAAAUAGGUGGAAAAACAGUGACCAUAUUUACAAGUUGUUGAUGGUUUUUCAUAGGAUAUUGGAUAAAAUACAGGGUCAUAGUUAUAUAUUUUUAGAGAUGUGCAGAAAUAGCAAGUUUUUGGAUAAUGAUUGUAAUAUAUAUCCGACAAUAUAAAUACUAUUCCUUGCUGGUGUUGAAGAUCCUAUAGAGAAAGUUAUAUGGCAAGGAGAGAUUUCCCCAUAAUAUUCUCAAUUUGCAUAUCAUAUUGAUCUGCUUUGUAUGAAUCGACUUGAACGAGUUGAAUUGUGUCAAAUAAGGAAACUAUUUACGUUCCACAAAUAUCUUUUGGAUAUUUAUUAAAUAAACAAUUUUUCACUGAA